UUAAAAUGCCAGUUCCCAUAUGAACACCAAAGUUAAGCAAUGGCAAGCUGAAUCAGUACUUCAAUCAGUGACUGCCUGGGAAUACCAGGUGCUGUA